GAGGGAUUGUUGGGUAAGGUGGGCUGUCUCCUCUUCACAUGAUCUUAACCUUUUAGUUCAGGAGGAUUGUUGGGUAAGGUGGGCGUGUCUCCUCUUCACAGUGAUCUUACCUUUUAGGUUCUAUAGGAGAGAUAGUUGGAUAAGGUGGGCGUGUCUCCUCUUCACAGUGAUCUUACCUUUUAGGUUCUGGAGGAGGGAUAGUUGGAUAAGGUGGGCGUUUGUCUCCUCUUCACAGUGAUCUUACCUGUAAGGUUCUGGAGGAGGGAUGGUUGGGUAAGGUGGGCGUGUCUCCUCUUCACAGUGAUAUUACCUUUAAGGUUCAGGAGGAGGGAUGGUUGGGUAAGGUGGGCGUGUCUCCUCUUCACAGUGAUAUUACCUUUAAGGUUCUGGAGGAGGGAUGGUUGGGCAAGGAGUGUGCGUCUCCUCUUCACAGUGAUCUUACCUUUUAGGUUCUAUAGGAGAGAUAGUUGGAUAAGGUGGGCGUGUCUCCUCUUCACAGUGAUCUUACCUUUAGGUUCUGACGGAGGAUGUUGGAUAAGGUGGGCGUGUUGUCUCCUCUUCACAGUGAUCUACCGUAAGGUUGGAGGAGGGAUGGUUGGGAAUGGGCGUGUCCCUCUUCACAGGAUAUACCUUUAAGGUUCAGGAGGAGGGAUGGUUGGGUAAGGUGGGCGUGUCUCCUCUUCACAGUGAUAUUACCUUUUAGGUUCUAUAGGAGGGAUAGUUGGAUAAGGUGGGCAUGUCUCCUCUUCACAGUGAUCUUACCUUUAAGGUUCUGGAGAAGGGAUUGUUGGGUAAGGUGGGCGUGUCUCCUCUUCACAGUGAUCUUACCUUUUAGGUUCUGGAGGAGGGAUAGUUGAAAGGGGGUGUCUCCUCUUCACAGUGAUCUUACCUUUUAGGUUCUGGAGAAGGGAUAGUUGGAUAAGGUGGGUGUGUCUCCUCUUCACAGUGAUCUUACCUUUUAGGUUCUGGAGAAGGGAUAGUUGGAUAAGGUGGGUGUGUCUCCUCUUCACAGUGAUCUUACCUUUU
rnacentral:lncRNA from 1 species